UACGUAGGGUGCGAGCGUUAAUCGGAAUACUGGGCGUAAAGCGUGCGCAGGCGGUUUGUAAGACAGGUGUGAAAUCCCCGGGCUUAACCUGGGAACUGCAUUGGUGACUGGCAGGCUUUGAGUGUGGCAGAGGGAGUAGAAUUCCACGUGUAGCGGUGAAAUGCGUAGAGAUUUGGAGGAACACCAGUGGCGAAGGCGACUUCUGGUCGUGUAACUGACACUGAGGCGCGAAAGCGUGGGGAGCGAACAGG
rnacentral:rRNA from 1 species